rnacentral:lncRNA from 1 species
CCGCGCGAUCGCUCGCGGCACCAUCUCACGCAACCAUCGCGCGCAGUUAGCGAGAUUGCGCGCGCCACCAUCGGCCGGGCACCAUCGCGCGGCACCAUCGCGCGCAGCAAGCGCCCCAGCGCGCGGCACCAUCGCGCGCAGCAAGCGCACCAGCGCGCGGCACCAUCGCCGAAGUUAGCGAGAUUGCGCGUGGCACCAUCCGCGCAGCAGCGCCCCAGCGCGCGGCACCAUCGCGCGCAGCCAGUGCGAUCGCGCGCGGCACCAUCUCCCGCAGCCAGCGCGAUAGCGAGGGCACCAUCGCGCGCAGCAAGCGCGCCAGCGCGCGGCACCAUCGCGCGCAGUUAGCGAGAUUGCGCGCGGCUCCUUCACGCGGCACCAUCGCGCGCAGCAAGCGCGCCAGCGCGCGGCACCAUCGCGCGCAGCAAGCGCGCCAGCGCGCGGCACCAUCGCGAGCAGUUAGCGAGAUUGCGCGCGGCACCAUCGCGCGCAGCGAGCGCCCCAGGCGCGCGGCACCAUCGCGCGCAGCCAGCUCCCCAGCGCGCGCACCAUCGCGCGCAGCAAGCUCCCCAGCGCGCGCACCAUCGCGCGCAGCAAGCUCCCCAGCGCGCGGCACCAUCGCGCGCAGCAAGCUCCCAGCGCGCGGCACCAUCGCGCGCAGCAAGCGCACCAGCGCGCGCACCAUCGCGCGCAGGCAGCCAACUCUCGUGCGGGCAAGGCAGCCAACGAUCUUGCGCGAGGAUGCGCACGCUGGCGCGCGAGGUUGCCCACACUCGCGCGGCAAGGCAGCCAACUCUGGCGCGGCAAGGCUGCCCACGCUCGAGCGGCAAGGCUGCGCACUGUGGCGCGAGGCUGCGCACGCUGGCGCCGAGGCUGCCCAAGAUGGCGCGCGUUACCAAACGCUCGCACGGCAAGCAAGCCCACGCUCGCGCGCCAGGCUGCGCACGCUCGCGCGGCAAGGAUGCGCACGCUGGCGCGCGAGUUGCCCACUCUCGCGCGGCAAGGCAGCCAACUCUCGCGCGGCAAGCUGCCCACGCUCGAGCGCAAGGCUGCGCACUCUGGCGCGCGAGGCUGCGCACGCUCGCGCGGCAAGCAAGCCGACGCUCGCGCGCCAGGCUGCGCACGCUCGCGCGGCAAGGAAGCCAACGAUCGCGCGCGAGGCUGCGCACGCUGGCGCGCGAGGCUGCCCAACCCUCGCACGGCAAGGCAGCCAACGCUGCGCGCGAGGCUGCCCACGCUCGCGCGCAAGGAAGCCAAACUCUUGCGCGCGAGGCUGCCCAUUUCCGAGUAAGGCAUGCUUCACCCACUCGCGAGGAAGCAGCGCGAACUCGUGCGGAGGGAUGUAGCCCACCUCGCGUGCCCGCAGCGCACGCUGGCGGGGAAGGAUACGAGCGCGCGCGCGGCAUGCACCUGGCACUCGCGCGGCAAACUGCCGACGCUCGAGCGAGGCAAGGCAGCGGGCGCUCGCCACAAGGCACGCAGCCACGCUCGAGCGAGGCAAGGCUUGCGCACGCCAUGCAGCCCCCACUCGCGCGGCAAGCAGCGCAGGCUCGCGAGGCAAGCUGCCCACGAUCGCGGGGCAGGCAGCGCGCGCUUGCGAGCAGGCCAGGCACGAUCGCGCGGCUCGCACGGCACCCUCGCGGGGCACGCACAGCACCCUCGCGCGAGGCAGGCCGCGCUCGCCCUGGCUGGGGCGGGUGGCUUCCUUCCGCGCGGGAAGUGGCCAUGUCCCUUCCGGCGCUGCUACCGCUGUUCCAUGGGGGCCGGAUGCUGCAAUUAGGCGUCAUGCGAGAAACCACCAUGGGCCGGAUGCUGCAAUUAGUCUCAGGACUCAAGUAGAUGGCGGGCUUAGGGAACAAUUUUUUGGCCGCUGGAAAACAGUUUUUUUAAAAUCGUCCAAAAUGGAUAAACCGGACACAAAAUUACUCGUAAGAUAUGCAAACGGCACCGGAAUGGGCUGAAAUUUUAGGAGGCGCCGUAUAUCGACCUGAAUUAUCUGAUGGGACCAAAAAGUGGUGGAAAUUAUGCCGGAGCUCGGGGUCCCAAAUUUGGGCAAAAAUGGCCAAAAACCGUGGCCAUUUUGAGCACACGGAUUUUGCCCAAAUUUCGCGUUUUCGGGGCGGCAGGGGAUUUUGGGCCGGCAUUGUAGAUAUGUGCGUUUGUUAACCGUCGGAGGAGACGGAAGUCUAUUCCGAGGUCCGGAUCUCGUUUUAUGGCCAAUUUACCGAACGCGCAGGGGACCCAUUUUCGGCCAGAAAGGGCCAAAAUUCGCGUUUUCGGGGCGGCGUGGGGUUUAGCCACAGGAGAAAACGGAAGCCAAAUUUCUCCUUUGUGCCAGCCACUUAGAUUUUGCCGAGAGUUAGACACAAGUCCGCUACGAGGCCUGAGUUAGCCUCCUUUCGAAGCCAUCACACAAGUCUUUGUGCCAGAGUUAGCCUCAUGAAAAGGAGAGUGUGCUGCCUUUGUGCCAGCCACUUAGAUAUUGCCGAGAGUUAGCCUCGUGAAAAAACACAAGUCCACUCCGAUCCUUGGGCGUGUGCGCCGCAGGGGCUAACCUCCGACGGGUUCCGAACAAGAGAAGACGGUGCGAGUGAGGGGGGAGGGACGAAUCUGAGCGACGUAGGGCUGAAUCUCAGUGGAUCGUGGCAGCAAGGCCACUCUGCCACUUACAAUACCCCGUCGCGUAUUUAAGUCGUCUGCAAAGGAUUCUACCCGCCGCUCGAUGGGAAUUACGAUUCAAGGCGGCCGCCGCGGCCCUUCCGCCGCGGGGCUUGCCUACGACACGUGCCUCUGGGGACCGGGCGGUCCCUACUGCGGGUCGGCAAACGGGCGGCGGGCGCGCGUCGCUCUAGCCCGGAUUCUGACUUAGAGGCGUUCAGUCAUAAUCCAGCGCACGGUAGCUUCGCGCCACUGGCUUUUCAACCAAGCCGAUGACCAAUUGUGCGAAUCACGGUUCCUCUCGUACUAGGUUGAAUUACUAUUACGACGCAGUCAUCAGUAGGGUAAAACUAACCUGUCUCACGACGGUCUAAACCCAGCUCACGUUCCCU